rnacentral:lncRNA from 1 species
CUGGGGGCCUGGCUGGGGGUGCUAGAGGAAGAUAGCAGGGCACCCCAGGGCCUGGCUGGCAUCGCCAGUGCGGUGGGAAGUUGGGAAGUGGGUCAAGCUGGGGGGAGGCGAGGAGAGAGCUUGGCUGGGAUAGGGAGGAGUGGGAUGGUGGUUGCUGGGGAGGGUGACUAGGGGCCCUUCUCACCCCUGUGUUUGCCGCCCCCAUUCUCCCCUCCAAGCACUGGCUAUUCUGGGAACCUGCUGGGAAGGAAAGAUGGAGGGAGCCAGGUGCCAAGAAAGGUAACCUGGGUUGGAGGAUGUGGAGCCAUGGCCGAGGGGAUCAAGGGUGCUGGCUGAAGGAGCAGGCUGGGAUGGGGAGGGGAAUCUCCUGGGAGCCUUGACCUCACUCAGGGUUCUGGGCUCCCAGGAUAGAUGCUGAAACACUGGCCUGCCCAGCUGCUGCCCACCACCUGGGACCUUUCUGACGGAGCCCUAGUCCUUGACACCGACUGAGGACAUUGCUGCUCCA